rnacentral:rRNA from 1 species
AACAAACGCUGGCGGCGUGCCUAAUACAUGCAAGUCGAACGGGGUAGCAAUACCUAGUGGCGCACGGGAGAGGAACGCGUGGAUAAUCUGCCUUAGAGUGGGGAUAACUAGUCGAAAGAUUAGCUAAUACCGCAUAAGACCACAGGAGCUGCGGCUCUAGGGGUCAAAGGUUUUUCGCUCUAAGAUGAGUCCGCGUAAGAUUAGCUAGUUGGUGAGGUAACGGCUCACCAAGGCGACGAUCUUUAACUGGUCUGAGAGGAUGAUCAGUCACACUGGAACUGAGAAACGGUCCAGACUCCUACGGGAGGCAGCAGUAGGGAAUAUUGCACAAUGGAGGAAACUCUGAUGCAGCGACGCCGCGUGAGUGAUGAAGGCCUUCGGGUCGUAAAGCUCUGUCGCAGGGGAAUAACACAAUGAAUGUACCCUGUAAGAAAGGAUCGGCUAACUUCGUGCCAGCCGCCGCGGUAAAAC